GCUGGCAGCUAGCUCUCUGCAACUCUCACAUUGUCGCCCACUGAAGCUAAGCAGGGCUGCGCCUGGUCAGUACCUGGAUGGGAGACCACAUGGAGAGCUAGGUUGCUGUCGGAA
rfam:Danio rerio chromosome 16, GRCz11 reference primary assembly.